AUUUUAUGUAUUUAAAAACACUAUUCUGAGACGGAAUCCAUAGUUUGAUCAGAUUGCCAAAGAGAACCAUGGCACAAAAAAGGUUAAGAACCUGUCCCCUAAAGAGAAGAGCUACAAGUAUGAAGGAUCACCCACACACACACAGAGCCCAGCCCUUGGAACAACUCUGAUUUUUGUUUGUUUUCUUUUCAAAAGCCGUGACUUUGAAUUGAUGUCCCUGGGAUUCAUUUGGAGAAGGAGUCUACCCCUGGCACUAUCAGCUUUCUAUACUACAAGGAAGGAAAGAGGGGGAGCCAAGGGCUACUCAGACGCAGGUGGCCAGUAUACCUAGCAAAACAUCUACCUCCUGAAGUGGCCCACUCCCUUUGAAGCGGCCCUGGAUUGUCACACUUCAAAGAAAUCUGAGCUUUAUUUGUCACCUUGGAAGUCAGCUGUAAAGGCAGAAGCUAUCAC
rnacentral:lncRNA from 1 species